UACAGGGGGGGCAAGCGUUGUUCGGAAUUACUGGGCGUAAAGGGCUCGUAGGUGGCCAACUAAGUCAGACGUGAAAUCCCUCAGCUUAACUGGGGAACUGCGUCUGAUACUGGAUGGCUUGAGUUUGGGAGAGGGAUGCGGAAUUCCAGGUGUAGCGGUGAAAUGCGUAGAUAUCUGGAGGAACACCGGUGGCGAAGGCGGCAUCCUGGACCAACACUGACACUGAGGAGCGAAAGCCAGGGGAGCAAGCGGG
rnacentral:rRNA from 1 species